UAUAAAAAAUGCGUUCCAAGCGAACAUGAACGAUGAUUGGUAUCGUACACCGUGUUGUUCCAAGCGAUCCAUGUACCGCUUCGAAAUCGGUAACUGAACGGCCCUUUUGAUACAUGCCUUCAAGCAGAAACUAUUUGUACUGACUUGCGCAGUUAGGAUUGUUUUCAUUUUUACUGGUCACUGCUAUGAGAUCAGCUGAUGAUUCAAUAAUAGAAUAAUCCACAAUUUACGCUAUUAGUACCUGUGAAUCUUGAUUUCCGUUUAAAUAAUUAUUAAUUCUUUUUUUUUUCAAAUUAAUCUUAUAAAAAUGGAUAAUUUAUUAUUUUCUUUUUUCAUAGAAGACAACGAUUUAAUGUCAGAUAUCGAUUCUGGGGAAGGUUUUGAAGCUGAAGUGAUGUUUAAUGAACAUGUUAAGUCCACUUUACAUCAACAAUAAAUUGAACAAGAAAUUGACAAAGUUAUUUAAGGUCAAAUUUGGCUUAUACAAAACACAAUUCUACAUCCAAUUUUGCCGUGAAUAAAAAGAAAAUUGACAAAAUAAAACAUAUCCAAUUGUUCUAUUUCAUCAAAUUAUUUCACUUUCUUUUACAAACCAUACAUUUUGUACUCGUCAAAUUUGGUAUUGAAUAACUUUGUCAAUUUCUUAUUCAAUUUAUUGUUGAUGUAAAGUGGACAUUAGAAAUAUUAAUUUCUAACCAUCUAGCAAACUACUAUAAUAGUGGUACAGUGGUACUCGCACUGAAAAUGGCUCAGGCGCAACUCGAACUUGAAAUGGUACACGAAUUCGUUCCAAGAGGGUUAUGUACCGGUAAUCGGAUCGAGAUCGAAAGAAAACCGUUCAAGGGCGAUUCUGCGCAUUAAAACCGUCCAAUCGAUUUCGUGGCGGUUCAAGGGAUCGUACAAAUGUGUCGUCUUGGAACGAACCUACUAUAUUGGGUGCGUUCGGACGACCACAGCGGCUGGACAGCUGAGCCAGCAGUAGCUGUCAGACGUCACCGCUGGAAGCCAGCCGCUGAGAGAUUUACUAAAGUCCACUUUACAUCAACAAUAAAUUGGACAAGAAAUUGACCAAGUUAUUCAAGGCCAAAUUUGACGUGUAAAAGCACACUUUGACAUCUAAGUUUGUUCGUUAUAAACUUCACGUGAAGAAAUUGACGAAAAAGAAAAUUGUUCUAUUUUUUCAUUUAUUUGGCGUGAAUUCAGUGUCACCAACCUGUGUCCAUUUGGCGGGAAGUGGAAGUAGAGCUGUAGAGCUUUUUGUUUAUUAUUAUUUGUUGAGGUUGAGUCUUUCAUGUUCAUGACAACCUAAAAAUUUUGAUUGGAAAAUGCAUAUAAGAUAAGGGGGUGGGAAAAUGGAAAUUAGUGGCUUUUUUGCAGUUCUGUCUGUUAGUUUUGCUCUGGCUGGGUCUCUUUUGUUUAAACAAUUAUAAUCAGCUGAAAGUGGUCUACAAAAAACCAGGAAGGAAACGUAUUAUAGCCUUGUUGUGGCUAUGAAAGGCAAAAGAAAGAUACCUAUAAAAAGUGUAUUGACUAGUUGGAAGAAACUCCACAUUGUCGAUGCAUAAUAAGAUAUUACUUUAUAAACAAAUAUCAAGACCUAGGAAUGGAACCUGGAUAAUAUAGUCAUCAAGAAGAUAGCAGGAGGUCAUGAGCAACAACAACUUCAUAAGUAUGAGAAUAUUGAGGAAAUCCAGCUCCUCGAUAUCUACUACUAGACAAACUAGAAGAUUGAAGAGGACAAAGCCUUUUGAACUAGUUUGAGUGAUAGGUGAUAGUGAAAAGCAGAGCGUAGUGCUUGUGUGCCUGUGUAUGUUAGAAUAGUGCACGAUCUUGUUAGAUUAGAUAAGAGACGCUAUAGGGUAAGCUCUUCAUUUUAAGGAACAGUAGUAAUUUAGGUUAAAUUAAAAUUGCUCAUUGGUCAGUUAUGACCAGAUUGUAAUUCUCUGAUGUUUGGCAAAAAGGGCUGAAGUCAGAAUUGCACAUCAAUAAUGUUUUGAUGAUUUCUGGACCAUAAAAAAAGUGUUGCAGACUUAAACUGUAUGUACCAAUAAAAAGAGCCGAUUUUUCUGGUCCAGAAAUCAUCAAAACAUUAUCAAUGUGCAAUUCUGACUUAAGCCCUUUUUCCCAAACAUCAGAGAAUUGCAAUGUACAAUUCAAUACAAAUGAAUCAUCAUCGUAGUGAUGAUUAUGGAAAAAAAUAUAUAUAUAUAUAGAAAUAUAUAUAUUUUGUGCAAUAAAAAUGUUUAUAUUUA